UGGGGGAUAUUGCACAAUGGGCGAAAGCCUGAUGCAGCGACGCCGCGUGGGGGAUGAAGGCUUUCGGGUUGUAAACCUCUUUCGCUAUCGAACAAGGCCCGCUUAGGGUGGGUUGAGGGUAGGUGGAGAAGAAGCGCCGGCUAACUACGUGCCAGCAGCCGCGGUAAUACGUAGGGCGCGAGCGUUGUCCGGAAUUAUUGGGCGUAAAGGGCUUGUAGGCGGCUUGUUGCGCCUGCUGUGAAAACGCGGGGCUUAACUUCGCGCGUGCAGUGGGUACGGGCAGGCUUGAGUGUGGUAGGGGGGACUGGAAUUCCAGGUGUAGCGGAGGAAUGCGCAGAUAUCUGGAGGAACACCGAUGGCGAAGGCAGGUCACUGGGCCAUUACUGACGCUGAGGAGCGAAAGCAUGGGUAGCGAACAGG
rnacentral:rRNA from 1 species